rnacentral:rRNA from 1 species
AACGCUAGCUACAGGCUUAACACAUGCAAGCCCUAGGGGAAACGACAUCGAAAGCUUGCUUUUGAUGGGCGUCGACCGGCGCACGGGUGAGUAACGCGUAUCCAACCUGCCCAUCACUUGGGGAUAACCUUGCGAAAGUAAGACUAAUACCCAAUGAUAUCUCUAGAAGACAUCUGAAAGAGAUUAAAGAUUUAUCGGUGAUGGAUGGGGAUGCGUCUGAUUAGCUUGUUGGCGGGGUAACGGCCCACCAAGGCGACGAUCAGUAGGGGUUCUGAGAGGAAGGUCCCCCACAUUGGAACUGAGACACGGUCCAAACUCCUACGGGAGGCAGCAGUGUUUAAUAUUGGUCAAUGGGCGAGAGCCUGAACCAGCCAAGUAGCGUGCAGGAAGACGGCCCUACCCCCCCGUAAACUGCUUUUAUAAGGGAAUAAAGUGAGUCUCGUGAGACUUUUUGCAUGUACCUUAUGAAUAAGGACCGGCUAAUUCCGUGCCAGCAGCCGCGGUAAUACGGAAGGUCCGGGCGUUAUCCGGAUUUAUUGGGUUUAAAGGGAGCGUAGGCCGGAGAUUAAGCGUGUUGUAAAAUGUAGACGCUCAACGUCUGCACUGCAGCGCGAACUGGUUUCCUUGAGUACGCACAAAGUGGGCGGAAUUCGUGGUGUAGCGGUGAAAUGCUUAGAUAUCACGAAGAACUCCGAUUG